rnacentral:rRNA from 1 species
AACGAACGCUGGCGGCAGGCCUAACACAUGCAAGUCGAGCGAGGACUUCGGUCCUAGCGGCAGACGGGUGCGUAACGCGUGGGAACGUGCCCUUUGCUUCGGAAUAGCCCUGGGAAACUGGGAGUAAUACCGGAUGAGCCCUUCGGGGGAAAGAUUUAUCGGCGAAGGAUCGGCCCGCGUUGGAUUAGGUAGUUGGUGGGGUAAUGGCCUACCAAGCCGACGAUCCAUAGCUGGUUUGAGAGGAUGAUCAGCCACACUGGGACUGAGACACGGCCCAGACUCCUACGGGAGGCAGCAGUGGGGAAUCUUAGACAAUGGGGGAAACCCUGAUCUAGCCAUGCCGCGUGAGCGAUGAAGGCCUUAGGGUUGUAAAGCUCUUUCAGCUGGGAAGAUAAUGACGGUACCAGCAGAAGAAGCCCCGGCUAACUCCGUG